GGUAUUAGGUACGAAAUACCGGCCGUCUCUGGUGCAAGUAGCAAAAGGUUUGUUGGUUGCUAACGGAUGCCCCAAGUUCGAAUUCUAGUUGAUUCAUAUUUCUAGUAAAAUUUAUUUUUUAAAAAAAGAAAUGAAUCGAAUAGCAUGUUACGAAAUUAGAGAGAAACGUGUGGUAGUGGGCUUUUAGUUAAAGAGAUUAAUGAAUGGGUAGUUAGGAGAAGAGUAAUAGUAGGCUCGUGAGUAAGGGAAUGUGGG
rnacentral:lncRNA from 1 species